rnacentral:lncRNA from 13 species
AUGGGAGAGGACCCUGGGCAAAACCAGGGGAGUGUCGCCGUCCCAAGGUGCGGCAGAAGAAGCAACAGCAACAGCAGCGAGAAGAGGAAUGGACAUGGGAGGAUGAGUUGGAUGGAAAAGGACCCUGGGCACAGCCUGGAGAAUAUCGCCGCCCCAAAGAAGAGCUGGAGGCGGCGAAGGCGGAGAGGCGCUGGUAUGAGGAGGCAGCACGGCGGCGUGGAUGGAGGCCCGAGAGUCAGCCCCAAAAAUGUAUUGGGGGGGGGGAACACAGGAAGUGUGGCGAAGCCAGGUAGGAGACCUGCGCCAACUUCCUGUGCUCACCGGGGGGCGAGAGAGACCAGGCAGGCACCGUGUUAUGCGGUGGAGCGCACGGUGUCCCCAGUGCGGGUGCAUAGCCCGGUGCGGUACAUUCCAGCUCCGCGUAUCGGCCGGGCUAGAGUGGGCAUCGAGCCAAGUGGCAUGAAGCCGGCUCUACGUAUCUGGUCUCCAGUGCGUCUCCUUGGGCCGGCUUACAUGGCACCAGCCUUGCGCACGGUGUCCCCGGUUUGCCUGCAUAGCCCAGUGCGGGCUAUUCCACCUCGCCGCACUGGCAGUGCGACCGGGAGCAUUCAAUCGGGUAAGGUUGGGCAGGCUCGGUGCUCAAGAGCUCCAGUGCGCCUGCACGGUCCGGUCUAUCAGUCACCACCUCCACCCACCAGCCCUCCGGUGGCAGCCCCCCGCACCAGGCUGUCUCUCCGGCUCAUCCUUACAGGGGCUCCCGCCUGUCCAGCGCUGCCGGAGCCUUCCUCCUCUCCAGCGCUGUCGGAGUCUCCCCUGCCAGAGCCUUCCUCCUCUCCAGCGCAGCCGGAGUCUCCCGCCUGUUCUGCGCUACCAGAGCUCCCGCUCCUCAUUCCAGAGGCACCAGAGCUACUCACUCCAGCGCUGCCAGAGCCUUCCUGUCCAGCGUUGCCGGAGCUUUCCGUCUGCCCAGCGCCAUCUGAGCUACCCGUCUGCCCAGCGCCAGAACCCCUCAGCACCGAGGCGCCAGAGCCCCUCAGCCCAGAGGCGCCAGAGCCCCCCAGAGGCGCCAGAGCCCCAUUAAGUAGGGUCGCCGUGGCUAGGAGGCCACGGAAGCGGACAAGGUGGGGGACUAAGACUACGGUGAAGUGGGGGCCACGUUCAGCACCAGAGCUGUACUGUCACACCCUGACCAUAGUUUGCUUUGUAUGCUUCUAUGUUUUGGUUGGUCAGGGUGUGAUCUGA